AUUGAACGCUGGCGGCAGGCCUAACACAUGCAAGUCGAACGGUAACAGGAAACAGCUUGCUGUUUCGCUGACGAGUGGCGGACGGGUGAGUAAUGUCUGGGAAACUGCCUGAUGGAGGGGGGAUAACUACUGGAAACGGUAGCUAAUACCGCAUAACGUCGCAAGACCAAAGAGGGGGACCCUCGGGCCUCUUGCCAUCGGAUGUGCCCAGAUGGGAUUAGCUUGUUGGUGGGGUAACGGCUCACCAAGGCGACGAUCCCUAGCUGGUCUGAGAGGAUGACCAGCCACACUGGAACUGAGACACGGUCCAGACUCCUACGGGAGGCAGCAGUGGGGGAAUAUUGGCACAAUGGGCGCAAGCCUGAUGCAGCCAUGCCGCGUGUAUGAAGAAGGCCUUCGGUUGUAAGUACUUUCAGUCGGGGAGGAAGGGAGGU
rnacentral:rRNA from 1 species